AUUUGAGAGCGAUAUUUCCCUCACAAAAAGUUGGAUACAUACCAAAACGUGUCUCACCUACUUUAUUCGAUUUUUAUGAGAGAAUUACGAUGAACCAGAGUUCAUUCGCACAUCCUACGCAAAUUUGUGAGGGAGUUACGAUGAACCAAAGGUACCAAGCAAAUGCCUCGCAAUUUUUUUGAGAUUGUGAGGGAUGUUUUUGCCUUGCAAUUCCCUCACAGUUUUGUCACAAAUUUGGGGGGGGGGGUAUCAUGAUACCUAGUUCCCUGGUCAUACCUAUCACCCGUUUAUGAUUGUACAUCCACGCAUGUAAUGCAUAUUUUGAUGUUCUGAAGACAUUUUACUCUCUCUCUUUUUUUUUUUUGCAUGUCAUGCAUAUUUUGAUGUUCUGAAGACAUUUUACUCUCUCUCUCUUUUUUAAUCUUGUGUUCAGAACUCAACAAAUGUUUUUCUAUUUAUAGAUUCUCCUAAAAACAUUGCGAGAGACUUGAGUGGAAACUGUAAUGGCGAGGGAUUUACGAAAAAAAUAAUAUUUUGUGAGGGAUUUGAGAGUGAUAUUUCCCUCACAAAAAGUUGAAUACAUACUAAAACGUGUUUCACCUAAUAUAUUCGACUUUUAUGAGAGAAUUACGAUGAACCAGAGUUCAUUCGCACAUCCUACGCAAAUUUGUGAGGGAGUUAAGAUGAACCAAGGUAACAAGCAAAUGCCUCGCAAUUUUUUUGAGAUUGUGAGGGAUGUUUUUGCC
rnacentral:lncRNA from 1 species